AUAAAUACAACAAACAUGCUUUGUACUACUUCUUGUAAUAACAUUAUUAUUACAUAAUACACUUUGCUCACCAGCUUUUCGAUCACUUCAAGGCUUUCUCUUCUCUUCAAGCGGUAACGAUUUGUUUCUCUCUAUCUCUAUUCUUCUUUAGUUUGUGAUUCUCUUACUUUGACUUGUUAUUGUUGUAGUUUGUGAAUGUUGUUUAAAACUCGGCUUGGUAAUUUUAGUUAAUUUUUUAGACUAAUUGUAUAAAGCACAAGAAAAAUAGUGUUAUACUAUACACAGUUUUCUUCUCCACUAUUAGAUUAAUAAAUUCCACCAUAUCUCACUCGAUCCAAUGGCGGAAAUAAAUUUGUGAAUGGUACAACACUUACUUCACUUAUGCACCAUAUAACUAGCUUAUUUUUUCAUAUUUGAAUGUUUGAUCAAAAGAAACCGCAUACAAUGAACCCUUUUAGUUCCUCCUUUGCUUUGCUUUGUUUUGUUUGAUUCUUUGUUUCUUUUGAUGGUCUAAUUAUUCUAUAACACUAUGAGUGUCCAAGUUUCAAUUUUUAUAACACCCUUUGUGAUUUCACUAGGUUAUUUAUUUCCAUAAAAAAAAAAAUCAUGGCAAUUCAACUUUAUCGAGUAUAGUUGAUAUUUACUUAUAAAUGUACAGGUGGAUCAAGCAAAACAAGUAUUUCUAUACAAGGGGCCCAUUGAUAAUAUAAUGGAACGGCAACAUCUUUGUCAUCAGUGAUGUAGCUAACAUUUAAAGAACUUUGAAGCCAAAAUUAUGUGUUUUUUUGUUUGUGUUUUUGUUUCAUUAUUUUUUUAAAUCAAUGUGUAUGUUCAGACAAACUUCAUAUAUGUCAAGUUAUUGAGCAUCUUUGGAUCGACUCAUUUGACCUUAAUUAUAGACAUAAACAAUUGC
rnacentral:lncRNA from 1 species